CUCGGAUCAGGUAGGGAUACCCGCUGAACUUAAGCAUAUCAAUA
rnacentral:rRNA from 11 species